rnacentral:ncRNA from 1 species
GUAGACCACAAGGGGUGCUGAUGAAGUCAGCUGAGACUGUGCACGUAUUGCACAAACUCUUUGAACCUGUAAGUUAAUGCUUGCGUAGGGAUUGUGGAUAGAAACCGAC